UUAUACAGAUUAGCUGCCUAAAUUAGGCAAUGGCUGGUGACUAAUGUCACCGGCCU
rnacentral:sRNA from 1 species